rnacentral:rRNA from 1 species
AUUGAACGCUAGCGGGAUGUUUUACACAUGCAAGUCGAACGAGUGGCGGACGGGUGAGUAAUAUAUCGGCACCUGCCCAGUCGCGGGGGAUAACUACUCGCAAGAGUCGCUAAUACCGCAUACUAGUGGCUCGGCUGAUAACGGAUUAGCUGGUGGGUGGGGUAAAGGCCCACCAAGGCAACGAUCCGAAGCUGGUUUGAGAGGACGACCGACCACACUGGGACUGAGACACGGCCCAGAAUCCUACGUGAGGCAGCAGUGGGGAAUUUUGGACAAUGGGGGAAAUCCUGAUCCGGCCAUCCGGCGUGGAUGAGAAGGCUUUCGGGUUGUAAAGUACUAUUGGUAGAUAAGCGGUAUCUGAAGAAUAAGCCCCGGCUAACUACGUGCCAGCCGCCGCGGUAAUUC